GACACCCCGAUGUCUCAUCCAGCCAAGAUUCAGCACUUACAGAACAUCCUCCUACAGGACCAUUCUGUGGAGGCAAGGAGGGAGGUUGCCAUCCGUGGCUUAAUGGUGUACCUUAGGUAAAAGGAGGACGACCUCUUCAAAGAGGAGGAUGGUGAUGGGGAUUGUCACAACACGAGGUGGUAUACCUGCAGCCUGUGCAAAGAUCGUCCUGGAGGGAACAGAGGUCCUAACGGAUGUGGAAGUUCCCAGAGCCUGUGCCUUGCUAAUGGGGCUGAUAAGUUUCC